rnacentral:lncRNA from 1 species
UCACCCUUCUGGGCCAAACCACUUCCACUCUGCUGGCAGAUCCCAUGUGGGAAGAGAGUGAGCAGGGGAGGGUCCAUUCCCCAUCCUGAGGUUGUUGGUGGAAGACAUUCACAGGAUUCCUCCUUCAGAAUGGGCUUGCAUUUCCUGUACACACAGCGAUGGCUGGGCAUCCUGGAAGUGGGGCAGGCAGCUGAAGAACAGAGAAGCAAGGUUUCCACUUCACCCUACCGUACACAUGCUUUGGACUUUGGAAUCGAAGUUCAGGGGGCAUUUUAGACCUGUCAGUUUGAGGACGGACUCAGUCAAGAGGCACAGUGGGGGCCCCUGUGCAGGAUGCUCAUGCCAGGAUAAAGAGAUGAGCACUCAUGCGAGGUGGGAUGUUACAAAGGUCCCUACAUCUCUUGGUGCUACCCUUGAGAACCUGACCCAGGCCCACAAAGCUCCUCCAAACCCAGACAAUAGAGUCCUUCAAUGGCCAGCUUCAAAAAUGAGGAGGUAAUAAGGUAACAGGUGGACAGUCCCUUA